rnacentral:rRNA from 1 species
AGGAUGAACGCUAGCGGCAGGCUUAACACAUGCAAGUCGAGGGGCAGCACGUCUUCGGAUGGUGGCGACCGGCGCACGGGUGCGUAACGCGUAUACAAUCUACCUUAUAGAGGGGAAUAGCCCAGAGAAAUUUGGAUUAAUGCCCCAUAGUAUUAUGAAUCAGCAUUGGUUUAUAAUUAAACAUUUAUGCUAUAGAUGAGUAUGCGUCUAUUAGUUAGUUGGUAAGGUAACGGCUUACCAAGACCGCGAUAGGUAGGGUCCUGAGAGGGAGACGUCCCCCCACACUGGUACUGACGACACGGACCAGCCUCCGUACGGAGGCAGCAGUGAGAUA